UUACACAUGCAAGUCGAACGGCAGCACGGGGGCAACCCUGGUGGCGAGUGGCGAACGGGUGAGUAAUAUAUCGGAACGUACCCAGUAGUGGGGGAUAGCUCGGCGAAAGCCGGAUUAAUACCGCAUACGCACUGAGGUGGAAAGCGGGGGAUCGCAAGACCUCGCGCUAGUGGAGCGGCCGAUAUCUGAUUAGCUAGUUGGUGGGGUAAAAGCCUACCAAGGCGACGAUCAGUAGCUGGUCUGAGAGGACGACCAGCCACACUGGAACUGAGACACGGUCCAGACUCCUACGGGAGGCAGCAGUGGGGAAUUUUGGACAAUGGGGGCAACCCUGAUCCAGCAAUGCCGCGUGAGUGAAGAAGGCCUUCGGGUUGUAAAGCUCUUUUGUCUGGGAAGAAAUCCCCUGGGAUAAUACCUCGGGGGGAUGACGGUACCGGAAGAAUAAGCACCGGCUAACUACGUGCCAGCAGCCGCGGUAAUACGUAGGGUGCAAGCGUUAAUCGGAAUUACUGGGCGUAAAGCGUGCGCAGGCGGUUGUGCAAGACAGAUGUGAAAUCCCCGGGCUUAACCUGGGAACUGCAUUUGUGACUGCACGGCUAGAGUGUGUCAGAGGGGGGUAGAAUUCCACGUGUAGCAGUGAAAUGCGUAGAGAUGUGGAGGAAUACCGAUGGCGAAGGCAGCCCCCUGGGAUAACACUGACGCUCAUGCACGAAAGCGUGGGGAGCAAACAGGAUUAGAUACCCUGGUAGUCCACGCCCUAAACGAUGUCUACUAGUUGUCGGGUCUUAAUUGACUUGGUAACGCAGCUAACGCGUGAAGUAGACCGCCUGGGGAGUACGGUCGCAAGAUUAAAACUCAAAGGAAUUGACGGGGACCCGCACAAGCGGUGGAUGAUGUGGAUUAAUUCGAUGCAACGCGAAAAACCUUACCUACCCUUGACAUGGU
rnacentral:rRNA from 1 species